GCCAUCGUGGCGCAAUGGUAGCGCAUCACCUUCCUAUGAUAUCGGCGUUUCAUUGGACGCGAGGUGGGGGUUGCGGGUUCGAUCCCCGUCGGUGGUA